rnacentral:rRNA from 1 species
AGUUCGGAUUGCAGGCUGCAACCCGCCUGCAUGAAGUUGGAAUCGCUAGUAAUCGCGGAUCAGCAUGCCGCGGUGAAUACGUUCCCGGGCCUUGUACACACCGCCCGUCACACCAUGAGAGUCGGGAACACCCGAAGUCCGUAGCCUAACAGCAAUGGGGGCGCGGCCGAAGGUGGGUUCGAUAAUUGGGGUGAAGUCGUAACAAGGUAAC